rnacentral:rRNA from 1 species
GAACNCNGGCGNCAGGCCUAACACAUGCAAGUCGAGCGGCAGCGGGAAAGUAGCUUGCUACUUUUGCCGGCGAGCGGCGGACGGGUGAGUAAUGCCUGGGAAAUUGCCCAGUCGAGGGGGAUAACAGUUGGAAACGACUGCUAAUACCGCAUACGCCCUACGGGGGAAAGCAGGGGACCUUCGGGCCUUGCGCGAUUGGAUAUGCCCAGGUGGGAUUAGCUAGUUGGUGAGGUAAUGGCUCACCAAGGCGACGAUCCCUAGCUGGUCUGAGAGGAUGAUCAGCCACACUGGAACUGAGACACGGUCCAGACUCCUACGGGAGGCAGCAGUGGGGAAUAUUGCACAAUGGGGGAAACCCUGAUGCAGCCAUGCCGCGUGUGUGAAGAAGGCCUUCGGGUUGUAAAGCACUUUCAGCGAGGAGGAAAGGUCAGUAGCUAAUAUCUGCUGGCUGUGACGUUACUCGCAGAAGAAGCACCGGCUAACUCCGUGCCAGCAGCCGNCGGUAAUA